ACCAAGGCAAAAGCUUUUUUCCUUCCCAAAGAGAACACAGUGGCCCACAGUAGUGGCAUUCAGCACUGGAUGAUCUCCUUCCACAUGGAGGCAAACUGGCAGAUAGGAAACCUGCAGUGAGACGCUGUGAAGCAAUGAGAAGGCAAGUUCAUGGGCAGAGUGGGAUCACAGCUUGAAGGCGGCUGAUAUCCAUGGUUGGAGACGGCCCUGGUGAAAGCUUGCAGAUGUUUGUAUGUGAAAGAUGGUGGACACCAUUUUGAGCUCCUUGAAAGAAAAAAGUGGUGCAUAAAUGUAAUUAAUAAACAGUGAGGGCAGGCUUUACAGCAGCUUUAACAGCAGAUAUUAUUGGACUGCAACUGAGAUUCAUCUCUGAUCACUGUUCAUGUCCUCUGGGGCUGAAGGGAAUUGGAGUUCAACAUCUGGAAGGUCAUAUAUCCCCCCCUCCACUUUUUUACAUGGCAGUUUCUUCUCAAGCAGAGAGGACUGAGGCAACAGUGCUUUUUUCCUAAAAGAAUGUUUAGGGGUACUCUCAUUUUCCUACUCAUAUUGAAAUACUGCCCAACAAUGAGGCCAAACUUAGAUUCACAAAAUGUUUAGGGGUAUGCGUACCCCUGCGUACCCCCAGAAAAAAAAGCACUGGAUGCAGACAAGCGUUUUUCGUAGUGGUUUGCUUAUUUCCUUAUGCACAGGUACAACAUUACAGGGGCACAAGAAGAAGCCCACAGGCCGCUACCACAAUUAUUGUGCUUGUAUGUACAUGAUAUGUCUUGUGCCCAAUUUCUCUCCAUCUCCUCUCUCUUUUUCGCCUAGCGGAGAAAUGACUGGUUUGAAGCUACAAUCAAAUUAAAGAUAAGUCAAUUGGUCUCUCAGCUACACCGCAUUGCCAUUUGCAACACAAAAUUAUCUCUGGCUAGUGUAACUCUUAGAACUUGUCUGUGGUCAUAAAUGCCUGUUAUCAAAAUAAAAACUACUCAAGGUUCACUGUAAUGUUUGUUGGAACCUCUGGUGCUGACUGCUAUCCUUACUGCUCUGCCUCUGUAUUGUUAUCCUAUCAGUAUUGUAUCUGAGCAAGCUCAGUGCAAUUUUUCUGAUGCUGUCCAAAUGUGGGGAGGGCUGCACCCUCUUUUAUAACCGUGGAACCUGUUAGAAAAGAAGCAGGAGGGCUAUGUAGUUUGGGAUGUGGAAACCCCAAAUGGACACAAUAAUUGUGUUUGAUAUGAUGUAGCAUUUGUCUUCAGAAAGGUUUUCAUUUAUGGUAAGAGGCAGUCAGAAAUGCUUAUCUUUGCUUUUAGUCAGUAAUGUCUAUCCAUCUAGAGAGAGAGACUGUGAACCAUAUGCCCACGAGCACUUAUUAAUUUAUACAAGUGUUCAAAAUUAGAUUAAAUGACACACAGGUAUUCCUACUAGCAAGGGUCUUGAAAGCCUUUAAAGGGACCAGGCAGACUUAAGCUGCAAAUGACAGCUUCUCUUCCUAAGCCACAAUGGGCUAAUGCGGAAAAAAAAAAUGUACAUUUUGUUUCUGUAUACCCUGCAUUUUAUCAGUCUUGAUAUUCAAGGUGGUUAAUAACAAAUACAAAACAAUCGGAAAAUGGAAGAGCACAAAAUGAAGUUAAAAUUAAAUUAAGCAGACUUCAGAUCCAAAAGCAUCUCAAUAACAUUGCCAGCCGUAACUCAGAUCACUGCAUCAAAAGCCUUCUUAAGAAAUAAAUUGUGGGUCAUGCACUGCAAAGCAGAGACUGAGCCAGGUAGACUUCCUGUGGAAAGGCUUCCCUGUCUUCUGUGCUCUUCAGGUGGUGGAAGAGAAUGAAGCAGAGUAUCUGAACUGAGUUAAGUGGGUGGAUAAGUAUAUGUAGAAUGAGGUUAUCUUUAUCUGUCUGUACAUAAUGAUAACUAGUUGUCAGAAACCAUAGCCCCUGGAACCACAGCUUUCUACUUCCACAAGACCACCAUUGGUUUCUCAUUAUCUAAAGGUAAAGGUAAAGGUACCUUGACAGUUAAGUCCAGUCACGAAUGACUCUGGGGUUGCGGCGCUCAUCUUGCUUUACUGGCCGAGGGAGCUGACGUUUGACUGCAGACAGUUUUUCCAGGUCAUGUGGCCAGCAUGACUAAGCCGCUUCUGGCGAAACCAGAGCAGCACAUGGAAACGCCAUUUACAGGCUAUAAAAGCUUCCAGGUCGGACUUGGACCUGUCUGGGUCACAGUCAGUCUUGACCUAGUCUGCCCAGAUACUGUUCUGGUUUUUGUAAGCAGGAUUACCACCAGAUGGAUUCUUCUCAAGUCCUGGUUCCAGAGACUUGUGCCUCCUGGCCAAUUAUCUAACCAUAGAGAAUAUUUACUGAAGACAAGUGCCCGCCUUCCCACCACUCAUUAAGUCUCCCCCUCUGGUUCCUUCCCCAGUAGCCUAAGGCUCCAUCGUCUUGUCUUUCAUCACACUGCCCUCUUCAUUUCUCUGGAUGUUCUGGGAGACCAGGGAGAGGAGUUGCGGCAGGAGAGGGAGACUUCCUGGAUUCUUCAGCAGCUUGCCACUCCUCUGUCUUCUGGCCCCUCUCCUCUCCUGCUUCUGAUUCUGGAUUGUCCUCUGCCCCAGCCUCUUCCUGCUCACUAAACCCUGUUGCCUCUUUAGCUUCCAACACCUCCUCCUCCCAGUCUGCUCCCUCUUCUUCCUCUGACCAUUCAUCGCCAUGCCCCCACCAAUCCCCUGGCUCUAAGCCUUCUUCUCUUGGGGAUUUCCUUGGAGUUUCUUCAGCUGGGGCCUCCCAGCACUCCUCAGCAUGCAGCCAGUCCAUGUCAUCCAGUGAGUUUUGUGGUGAUUUGAAGCUAGGUCUCUUGAGUUCUGCUGGUACUCUCUUGACGGUGCCUGAUUUAGCACAGUGUGGAUGGUUCCCCACAACACAUAAUGUGGGGGGGGGGCAAAUUUUGUCAUCACUCAGGGCACUGUAUUACCAAAGUCCACUCCUGGUCUUGAAGCCACUCUUCUCUAACCUUGUACUCUCCAUAUGUUUUGUACUAUAGCCCCAAUCAUCUGAUGGUUGGCCAUGCUGGCCAAGGCUGAUGGGAGUUGGAGUCCAGCAAUAACCAGAGGGCACCAGCUUGGGGCCCACAGUUCUGGGCUGACCAUAGUCCAGCUUCACAAUGCCAGUGCUCUGGAACCAUUUCUAUUGCUUCCUUUUAACUAUCAGAACCAAACAAGUUUAAUCCACUUAUUUCAUCAUGCCUACGUCUUAGACAGGAUCUUAAAAAGCAGAGACAUCACCUUGCCAACAAAGGUCUGUAUAGUUAAAGCUAUGGUUUUCCCAGUAGUGAUGUAUGGAAGUGAGAGCUGGACCAUAAAGAAGGCUGAUCGCCGAAGAAUUGAUGCUUUUGAAUUAUGGUGCUGGAGGAGACUCUUGAGAGUCCCAUGGACUGCAAGAAGAUCAAACCUAUCCAUUCUGAAGGAAAUCAGCCCUGAAUGCUCACUGGAAGGACAGAUCCUGAAGCUGAGACUCCAAUACUUUGGCCACCUCAUGAGAAGAGAAGACCCCCUGGAAAAGGCCCUGAUGUUGCGAAAGAUUGAGGGCACAACAAGGGGACAACAGAGGACGAGAUGGUUGGACAGUGUUCUCAAAGCUACCAGCAUGAGUUUGACCAAACUGCGGCAGGCAGUGGAAGACAGGAGUGCCUGGCGUGCUCUGGUCCAUGGGGUCACGAAGAGUCGGACACGACUAAACAACAAAAUGUCAGUCUUCCCCAAGCUGGUGCCUUUCAGAUGUUGUUGGACUACCCUCCAGAUAAUUUGGACUAGAACUCCCAUCACCCCUGACCAUUGCUCGUGCUGGCUGAUGGGAACUGUAAGUUCAAAACAUCUAGAGGACACCAGCUCAGGGAAGGCUAGCUUAUGUAUUCACCAAUCUUUAACAAAUUGUGCAAAUAGUGCAUGGAAAAUUAUUGCAUUUGUCGCUGAAGAGAGACAUGAUCAUACAAUGCUUUGGCAAGACUGAUAUAACUUGUAAGUUCACUGCCACAUUAGUUUGCUUUAGUUGUACCUUUAGUAUAAAAAUUGUCCAAAAAUGUAUGAUCUCAGCCAGUGCUUUUGUCUGGGGGUACGCAGCAGUACACAUACCCCUAAACAUUUUGUGAAUCUCAGUUUGACCUCAGUGAGGGACAGUUUUUCAAUAUGAGUAGGAAAAUGAGAGUACCCCUAAACAUUUUUUAAAGAAAAAAGCACUGGUAUCAGCAACAAAUAUCUCUUAGGUAGGAUGACACAAAUUGAAUAUAAAAUAUUGAGAAUAUGUUCAAAGGCAAUGUGUAAAUUGCUUUCAACAGUCCAAAAUGCAAAGUUUGUGUUGUGCAGAGAUUAUUAUGUAAAUAAUAAUAACAAUAUGUAUCACUAGAGCAAAGCGUGUACCAAAAUGCAUGGGUUUUUUUUAGAAUGUGCGAUGAUAGACCUGGAUAGCUCAGUUGGUUAGAGUGUGGUGCUGAUAAUGGCAAGGCUGCAGGUUCGAUCCCCAUAUGGGGCAGCUGCAUAUUCCUGCAUUGCUGGGGGUUGGACUAGAUGAUCCUCAGGGUCCCUUCCAACUCUACAGUUCUAUGAUUCUAUGGUUUAAUGUGUCAGACAGGGACUUGGGGUGGGCAGAUCCAUUUUCAAAUCCCCAUGAAGCUCACUGGUGACCUUGAACCAGUUACUAUCUUGCAGCAUUGGCCUGAAGAUAAAAUGGGAGAUGGGAUGCUAUGCAAACUGUCCUGGUAUCCUUGGAGGAAGGGCAGGAAAUAAACGAAUGAAUAAAAAACCCAACAGUUUUUACGUAGCACUUUGAAGGACUAAAUAAUUUCACAAGCAUUAUCUCAGUUUUAUUUAUAAGGACUUUGCAAGGUCAGUGUUAUUAUCUCCAUGAGGUUGAGUAUGAGAUAUAUUGUCAAGCUUAAAGCAACCUUGUGGAUUUCAUAGCAGAGAUAAGACCUGUAUGUCGGUAGGGACUUUCCAACUCUCAUGUAGUCUUUCCACACUGUCAGCUCCUUUUUUCCUUUAUUCUUUAAUUCCUACAUUCUUUAAUUCCUACAUUUACACAAAUGUGGAAUAGAAGUAUUGUGAAAGAAAGUGAUUUAACAGUGCUUUAAUCUUAUGCAUGUCUGCUUAGAAGCAAGUUCAAUUUCAUUUAGUUAUUCCCACAUAAGUAGGUCUAAAAAGAGCAGCUAAUUCAUUUUGAAUAGCUAAUUCAUGGUGCUGUUACCUCUUCUGAAUCUUUGCAAAGGAUAGAAAUAUAUGGAGCUUAAUACACAAGUUAAGCUGCCACACAAAUGGCACACAUAUACACACACACACACCAACAGUUGAUUAAACACUCCCUUCUCAAUUUCAAAAACAAUUUGCCAUGUGGAAUUUUGGGGUGCUGUUGGAGAAGAACAAAUCUGGAGCCCUUUUGAGUGUGUGAAAAUAGUUUGUGCUUUGGAGUUUGUGUGUGUGUGUGUGUGUGUCCCAUAUAGAAAGUGUUUCUUUUGGUGACCUGUGUACAGUGUAGUCAAAGGACAAGAUUCCCAGCAGACCAGGGAUAGGACCCAGCAUGGGUAAAAAUUUCCAGAGAGGUACCUGUGCUAGUCUCUUACAGCAAAACAAACAAAGAGUCUUGUAGCACUUUAAAGACUAACCGAUUUAUUAUGGCAUAAGCUUUUGUGAAGCCCACUUCAUCAGAUGCAUGAAGUGAAAUCUUAGUUGGCAGGUACAUAAAGGUGGAAAUUGUACAGUGAAAGUUGAAUGGCAAUGAGAUGCAAAAAAGUACAAUCAAUACAUUCAUUCUUCGGACAUUUCUGAAAAUUGAGUUGAAGUGCCAGAAGCAAGAAUUAAUUUAAUUAAUCGAAAAGCACAACAUUGUCUCACAACUUCCCAGAAACAUAAGCUGACAACUGAAUUUAAGAUAAAACUGACUCACACUCCUGCACUGGCUUCCCCCACCUAAAGUUUGAGUGUUAUCACUGGUAUUAUCUGAAAAAAGGGCCAGCCCUACCAUUAGGCACAGAGGUUUUGAGUGUCACAAAAGGGCAGCAAAUUGUUAGUUAUUUAAUUUAUUGUUGUUGUAUCUAACUACCAAGGAGGAAGAGAGGUAUUUCACAGAAUUUGUGCCUCAGGUUCAAACUGCACCUUGAAUUCUGAGGUAGGCAUUAUUUGCUGCUUUGCCUCAGGCAGCAAAAUAUCUUGGGCAGAUUCUGAGGGAUGCUCCACUUUUCUACAAACUUGCUGUGGAUCAACUGCAUAUUUUCUGUAAUGGCUGAAUAGCAUUCGUGCAUCUCAAAAAUGUGGCAAACAUAAUGGGCUAUGUGCCUCUUUCAGCUAUGUUUAUUUUCAGGCUCUAAAAUGCCAUUCAAAUGUUACCAAAAAAUUGCAAGUGGCUCAUGGUGGAAAUGUGUGCACCAUAAGAACAAGCACAAAGAACAGGGCCUUUUCUGUGAGAGCACCAACACAGUGGAAGUUACUUAUUCAGUCUGUAUCAUUGCUUGCCUUUUGCCAAACAGCUAUGGUAUAUUUUCUAGGAGCAUUUUUUAGAUAUGAUAUUUUACUACAGAUAUCUUACAGGUGGCUUUUAGUAUUUUUUUUUUAAUUGAUAAUUUGAAAUAUUGUUGGGAUUUAAAAAAAUACACGUAUUUGCCUCCUUAACAGGACUUGCACCAGUUCAGGACAAUCUUGGGUGCCUCCUGGGCCCCCAGAGCCUCACGAGAGGCCACUGCUACCCUGAUGCAUGCCCUCUUUAACCUGGAGAUUCUGAACCCUCUGUGCUGUAGGGCUUGGAGCCACCAUGUUAGUUUCCCAUAAUGCCCCAGGGUGAUUGUGCAUGGGGGGAAGGGCACUGUAGGAAAUCAAAAUAGUGGCUUCAAUGAAGUUGGCUGCUUCCAGCACUGGUAUAGUUUCGCCAUCCCCACUCAUAAAAAUCAGUAGCAUCUCAUGCCAUUAAGUCUCACAGUGUAAUUCAAAACCAAAAUCCAUCAGGGUGAGAGAGUUUAGAUAUGGGCUUUCUCAGCCAGGCCUGCGACAACUUACAUCCCUCACCCUGGCCCUGGUCAGGUGCAGCUAGUGGAACUCAAGCCAAUGGAACUUAUACUGCUCUGAGUCCCCGUCCCCCCAAUGGUGUUCCUGGGGCCAAUAAGAGACUCAUACGUAACCUUGGGUUACAUACGCUUCAGGUUACAGACUCCGCUAACCCAGAAAUAGUACCUCGGGUUAAGAACUUUGCUUCAGGAUGAGAACAGAAAUCGUGCUCUGGCGGCGGAGCGGUAGCGGGAGGCCCCAUUAGCUAAAGUGGUGCUUCAGGUUAAGAACAGUUUCAGGUUAAGAAUGGACCUCCAGAACGAAUUAAGUACUUAAUUUGAGGUACCACUGUAUUACAAACCCUGCUGAGCUCAGUCCUGUGAUGUAGCGCCCAGUGCUCAGGACAAGGGCCCACAUUCACCUGCCGGCUCAGCUGGCAACAGCUCUUCCCAUAGGCUUCUGGAUGGAGUUCAGAAUAGGCAAAUGAUGCCAACCUAAGUUACACU